rnacentral:rRNA from 1 species
CGAAAGUCUGACGGAGCAACGCCGCGUGAGUGAAGAAGGUUUUCGGAUCGUAAAGCUCUGUCUUCAGGGACGAAUGUGCUUAAUGUGAAUAAUGUUAAGUAAUGACGGUACCUGAGGAGGAAGCCACGGCUAACUACGUGCCAGCAGCCGCGGUAAUACGUAGGUGGCAAGCGUUGUCCGGAAUUAUUGGGCGUAAAGCGCGCGCAGGCGGGAAUGUAAGUCUGUCUUAAAAGUUCGGGGCUCAACCCCGUGAUGGGAUGGAAACUACAUUUCUUGAGUGCAGGAGAGGAAAGUGGAAUUCCUAGUGUAGCGGUGAAAUGCGUAGAUAUUAGGAGGAACACCAGUGGCGAAGGCGACUUUCUGGACUGUGUCUGACGCUGAGGCGCGAAAGCCAGGGGAGUGAACGGGAUUAGAUACCCCGGUAAUCCUGGCCGUAAACGAUGGGUACUAGGUGUAGGAGGUAUCGACCCCUUCUGUGCCGGAGUUAACGCAAUAAGUACCCCGCCUGGGGAGU